CUCCUUUUUUCUAUAAAUACACCCAUGCAAAAGACGUUUAAUCACAAACUGCAGAAGCAUUUUAGCAGUUUAAUCCUGUGAAAUCACCCAAAUCUCAAUUUCUAAGGUAGCUAGAAAAUUUGGAGGAAUGAACGGUGGCAGCACAGAAGUGCCGAAGAUGAUGGAAGGAGGAGCACCAAGGUGGACACACUAACUGGGUCAAACAAAGUUGUUAAAGAGUAUAUUCAAUUAAAGCUACAGAUGUCGACAAUGAACUAAGAUGGACAAAAAUGAUAAAGCUAUGAAAUCAUAAUCUUGAUUGAUUUCUGCUUCCAGUUCAGAAUUGUCCCCCUCCCACUCAAAUGUCUGUUCCUCCUUUUUUCUUAUCCAAAUGGCAAAAGGACCCGACAAUUCGGUCUCUGCAGCCCUUGAUUGAAUUUAUUCUUUAACGAUUUUAUUUGAGCUAGUUGUGGUCUCCACCUUGGUGCUCUUCCUUCCAUCGUCUCUGGCGCUUCCGUGCUGCCACCGUUUAUUCCUCCGAGUUUGCGAGCUACCUUAUAAAUUGAGAUUUCGGUGAUUUUACAGUUAAACUGCUAAAAUGCUUCUGCAGUUUGUGAUCAAGAUCCUUUUCUGAGUAUCGAGAGAGAGAGAGAAUGAAGGCCUGCAUGUAAGUGCACGCCCCUCGUUUGAUGUAAAUUAUAUUAGGGUAUAGCGGAGGCUGAAGUGAUUAAAAUAUAUUAGGGUACAAGGCCUAUGUUUUUUAGGCCUGUUGCUGUAGACAUGUUACCAGUGAGUCACACUUUUAUUAGUCACUUGCCUUGAACCGAGUCAUCAAGUUGUGAAUGGGGUGCUGAAAGGAAUUAAUGUCUAAUGGGUAAUUCGAACUUGGUCCAUUUAAAUCAACGUCCCUCCUCAGGAUGAUA